rnacentral:misc_RNA from 1 species
AACGAGGCCGACCUGCGGCUGAGUUACCUGCGGAAGGAUCAUUACCGAGUUUACAACUCCCAAACCCCUGUGAACAUACCACUUGUUGCCUCGGCGGAUCAGCCCGCUCCCGGUAAAACGGGACGGCCCGCCAGAGGACCCCUAAACUCUGUUUCUAUAUGUAACUUCUGAGUAAAACCAUAAAUAAAUCAAAACUUUCAGCAACGGAUCU